GAUGAACGCUGACAGAAUGCUUAACACAUGCAAGUCCACUUGAACUUCGGUUUGGGUGGCGGACGGGUGAGUAACGCGUAAAGAACUUGCCUCACAGAUAGGGGCAACAUUUGGAAACGAAUGCUAAUACCUGAUAUUAUGAUUAUAUGGCAUCGUAUAAUUAUGAAAGCUAUAUGCGCUGUGAGAGAGCUUUGCGUCCCAUUAGCUAGUUGGAGAGGUAACGGCUCACCAAGGCGAUGAUGGGUAGCCGGCCUGAGAGGGUGAUCGGCCACAAGGGGACUGAGACACGGCCCUUACUCCUACGGGAGGCAGCAGUGGGGAAUAUUGGACAAUGGACCAAGAGUCUGAUCCAGCAAUUCUGUGUGCACGAUGAAGUUUUUCGGAAUGUAAAGUGCUUUCAGUUGGGAAGAAAAAAAUGACGGUACCAACAGAAGAAGUGACGGCUAAAUACGUG
rnacentral:rRNA from 1 species